GACGAACUGUGCAAACGUUAUUCGGAAUCACUGGGCUUGAAGAGUGCGUAGGCGGUUUUGUAAGUAGGGUGUGAAAGCCCCCCGGCCCAACCGGGGAAUUGCGCCCUAAACUGCAAGGCUGGAGUGAGGUAGGGGUGUGUGGAACUUCUAGUGGAGCGGUGAAAUGUGUUGAUAUUAGAAGGAACGCCGGUGGCGAAAGCGACACACUGGACCUUGUCUGACGCUGAGGCACGAAAGCCAGGGGAGCAAACGGG
rnacentral:rRNA from 1 species